GUGAGCAGUGGGACAGCGGCUGGGUGAUGACAGUGGAGUCAGGGGUUAAACGGGAUGAUGGUGCGUAAGGUGUGCGUAGGGGUUUGAGGAAGAUUGGGGUGAAAUCCCCUGGCUUAACCUGGGAACUGCGUUCAGAGCUGCUGGGCUAGAGUAUGGUAGAGGGGAGUGGAAUUUCCUGUGUAGCGGUGAAAUGCGUAGAUAUAGGAAGGAACACCAGUGGCGAAGGCGACUACCUGGACUGAUACUGACACUGAGGUGCGAAAGCGUGGGGAGCAAACAGGAUUAGAUACCCGGGUAGUC
rnacentral:rRNA from 1 species